rnacentral:rRNA from 1 species
GAUGAACGCUGGCGGCGUGCCUAAUACAUGCAAGUCGAGCGAACAGAUGAGGAGCUUGCUCCUCUGACGUUAGCGGCGGACGGGUGAGUAACACGUGGAUAACCUACCUAUAAGACUGGGAUAACUUCGGGAAACCGGAGCUAAUACCGGAUAAUAUAUUGAACCGCAUGGUUCAAUAGUGAAAGACGGCUUUGCUGUCACUUAUAGAUGGAUCCGAGCCGCAUUAGCUAGUUGGUAAGGUAACGGCUUACCAAGGCAACGAUGCGUAGCCGACCUGAGAGGGUGAUCGGCCACACUGGAACUGAGACACGGUCCAGACUCCUACGGGAGGCAGCAGUAGGGAAUCUUCCGCAAUGGGCGAAAGCCUGACGGAGCAACGCCGCGUGAGUGAUGAAGGUCUUCGGAUCGUAAAACUCUGUUAUUAGGGAAGAACAAAUGUGUAAGUAACUAUGCACGUCUUGACGGUACCUAAUCAGAAAGCCACGGCUAACUACGUG